rnacentral:rRNA from 1 species
CAACGUAUGUAACCUACCCUUAUCAGGGGGAUAGCCUCUCGAAAGAGAGAUUAAGCCCGCAUAAUAUGAAGACAUAGCAUUAUGAUUUCAUCAAAUAUUUAUAGGAUAAGGAUGGGCAUGCGGAACAUUAGCUAGUUGGUAAGGUAAUGGCUUACCAAGGCUACGAUGUUUAGGGGAUCUGAGAGGAUGACCCCCCACACUGGUACUGAGACACGGACCAG